rnacentral:rRNA from 1 species
AGAGCGAACGCUGGCGGCAGGCCUAACACAUGCAAGUCGAGCGCCCCGCAAGGGGAGCGGCAGACGGGAGAGUAACACGUGGGAACGUACCCUUUGGUUCGGAACAACACAGGGAAACUUGUGCUAAUACCGGAUAAGCCCUUACGGGGAAAGAUUUAUUGCCAAAGGAUCGGCCCGCGUCUGAUUAGCUUGUUGGUGAGGUAACGGCUCACCAAGGCUACGAUCAGUAGCUGGUCUGAGAGGAUGAUCAGCCUCACUGGGACUGAGACACGGCCCAGACUCCUACGGGAGGCAGCAGUGGGGAAUAUUGGACAAUGGGCGCAAGCCUGAUCCAGCCAUGCCGCGUGAGUGAUGAAGGCCCUAGGGUUGCAAAGCUCUUUUGUGCGGGAAGAUAAUGACGGUACCGCAAGAAUAACGCCCCGGACUAACUUCGUGCCAGCAGCCGC